AUUGAACGCUGGCGGCAGGCCUAACACAUGCAAGUCGAGCGGAAGAAGGGAGCUUGCUCCUGGAUUCAGCGGCGGACGGGUGAGUAAUGCCUAGGAAUCUGCCUGGUAGCGGGGGAUAACGUCCGGAAAUGGGCGCUAAUACCGCAUACGCCCUGAGGGAGAACGUGGGGGAUCUUCGGACCUCACGCUAUCAGAUGAGCCUAGGUCGGAUUAGCUAGUUGGUGGGGUAAAGGCCUACCCAGGCGACGAUCCGUAACUGGUCUGAGAGGAUGAUCAGGCACACUGGAACUGAGACACGGUCCCGACUCCUACGGGAGGGAGCAGUGGGGAAUAUUGGACAAUGGGCGAAAGCCUGAUCCAGCCAUGCCGCGUGUGUGAAAAAGGUCUUCGGAUUGUAAAGCACUUUAAGUUGGGAGGAAAGGCAGUAAGUUAAUACCUUGCUGUUUUGACGUUACCAACAGAAUAAGCACCGGCUAACUUCGUG
rnacentral:rRNA from 1 species